UUGAUCCUGGCUCAGAAUCAACGCUGGCGGCGUGCCUAACACAUGCAAGUCGAACGCGAAAGGGGAGCAAUCCCUGAGUAGAGUGGCAAACGGGUGAGUUACACGUGGGUGACCUGCCUUCGAGUGGGGGAUAACGUCCCGAAAGGGACUCUAAUACCGCAUGACAUCCUGCUCUUGGAAGAGCGGAGAUCAAAGCUGGUGAUCGCAAGACCUGGCGCUUGAAGAGGGGCCCGCGCCUGAUUAGCUAGUUGGUAGGGUAAUGGCCUACCAAGGCAACGAUCAGUAUCCGGCCUGAGAGGUCGGACGGACACACUGGGACUGAGACACGGCCCAGACUCCUACGGGAGGCUGCAGUGGGGAAUUGUUCGCAAUGGGCGCAAGCCUGACGACGCAACGCCGUGUGGAGGACGAAGAUCUUCGGGUCGUAAACUCCUGUCGAGUGGGAAGAAUGGAUCAGGGGUGAAUAAUCCCUGGUAUUGACGGUACCACUAAAGGAAGCUCCGGCUAACUCCGUGCCAGCAGCCGCGGUAAUAAGGU
rnacentral:rRNA from 1 species